AGAGGUAGUUACUUUAUAAUAUCUUAAAAAACCUGAACUCCCCCAGUUUUUUCCAAAAAGAGGUUGUUAAUUGAGAAUAUUGCAUUCUUAAAAAUCCUGAACUCCGUCAGUUUUUACAAAAAAGAGGUUGUUAAUUGAGAAUAUUGAAUUCUUAAAAAUCCUGAACUCCGUCAGUUUUUACAAAAAAGAGGUCGUUAAUUAAGAAUAUUGAAUUCUUAAAAAUCCUGAACUCCGUCAGUUUUACAAAAAAAGAGGUUGAUAAUUAAGAAUAUUGAAUUCUUAAAAAUCCUGAACUCCGUCAGUUUUUACAAAAAAGAGGUUGUUAAUUAAGAAUAUCGAAUUCUUAAAAAUCCUGAACUCCGUCAGUUUUUUCAAAAUAGAGGUUGUUAAUUAAGAAUAUCGAAUUCUUAAAAAUCCAGAACUCCGUCAGUUUUACAAAAAAAGAGGUUGAUAAUUAAGAAUAUUGAAUUCUUAAAAAUCCUGAACUCCGUCAGUUUUUACAAAAAAGAGGUCGUUAAUUAAGAAUAUUGCAUUCUUAAAAAUCCUGAACUCCGUCAGUUUUUACAAAAAAGAGGUUGUUAAUUAAGAAUAUUGAAUUCUUAAAAAUCCUGAACUCCGUCAGUUUUUACAAAAAAGAGGUUGUUAAUUAAGAAUAUCGAAUUCUUAAAAAUCCUGAACUCCGUCAGUUUUACAAAAAAGAGAGGUUGAUAAUUAAGAAUAUUGAAUUCUUAAAAAUCCUGAACUCCGUCAGUUUUACAAAAAAAGAGGUCGUUAAUUAAGAAUAUUGAAUUCUUAAAAAUCCUGAACUCCGUCAGUUUUUACAAAAAAAAGAGGUCGUUAAUUAAGAAUAUUGAAUUCUUAAAAAUCCUGAACUCCGUCAGUUUUUACAAAAAAGAGGUCGUUAAUUAAGAAUAUUGAAUUCUUAAAAAUCCUGAACUCCGUCAGUUUUACAAAAAAAGAGGUUGAUAAUUAAGAAUAUUGAAUUCUUAAAAAUCCUGAACUCCGUCAGUUUUUACAAAAUAGAGGUUGGUAAUUUAGAAUAUUAAAAAGAAGUAGGUAUUAUUGAAACUUAAAUUCAUUCCUACAAUCAUCCUAACUAACCUUACUUAAUCCGUUAUAUCUUAUAUUUAUCGUGAUUUGUAUUCAACUUUUUUUAAUUUAUUAGAGUAAUUCCGUCUAUCUUAAAAACGUCCCUUUUCAAUAAAUAAAAUAAAAUAAAUAAAAUCAAUACCUAAAUUAGAAAAAAAAA